GGGGUGGUGGUGUUGUGCAUACAUUAAAUUUAACUUCGAUGUUACGCAUUAUAUCAAGUGUGUGUGCAUGCAGUUACUUGUUUCAUUUUAUCACCUCUUUUCCCUCAUCACUUUCAACCAGGACUAUCUUCCUAGUUCCUACUCUCAUUCACCUUGGAAUAAUAUUUUACUAUUCCACUGCCAGUUAAUGUCCUUGGGAUUGCAGCAUAGGUGCAGAACACAUAGGACCAGUAAGGGUGAGAUUGGGGAUGACUAGAACUUGUUGCUUUGUAUCAUAUAAAAACCUCCAAUGUGUGCAAGAAAAUCAAAGCUGCUUUAGAUUCUUGAAAUUAAAUAUAAUCUUUAACUUUUCCAGGGUUAAACCUUCCUGCAAUUGAUCUGUAAUUUCUUAUCUUGAAGUAACUUCUGAAAGUAAUCCCUAAAGGUUUGUGUCAUAUGUUCCGUAUUGCUGUUAUUGUUGUCCUCAGUUUCUCAUCAUGCUGCCUGUAGCUUGAGCAGAGUUUCUAAUUGCUCAGGGCUUCCAAAAUAAUGUAAUUGUUGCUAAAUUUUGUGCUGUUGACCUGUAUCUCCAUGCAAAAUUCAAUUUAUGAGAGGAUGUCGGGAUUCCUGAUGACAACUAUUCAUAUGUUUUAACGAUGUAACAUGUCUACUUCUCAGUCAUCAAAGCAAUUUGAAAUAGCUUUUAGGCAGUUACCCUAUAUAAUUAUUGGUCAUUCUGUAUGACCUUCAAAUUACUUCAUUACAGUGGGUGUGCUGUAUGCUCGAAACAAAUUGUAUGACCUCUUUAUGGUUCAAACUAACAAGGUUUGCCUCUGACUGGUACUUUCAUUCAUGUCAUUGCUACGUUAUUGUAGAUUGCUGCCAACUUCCAAAUGUUUUAUGAUUAACUUUUGUUCUUAUAUUCAUGUUUUCUGUUUAUUCAUUGAUAUCUAUUUUGUGGGGAUUAAUUUAAAAUUGGUCAAAAUUGUUUCCUUGCGCCUCUUUUAUAUCUCAGUUUUUAGUUGUUCCACUUGAUUGAUACUAUGAACUCUUGAAGUUACAUUAAUUCUAUUGGUUUAAAUAUUUUAUGAGUUGAUACUAUGAACUUCAAGUUUUAUUGAUUGUAGUUUUCUUUCAUUUUGAAAUCAAGAUGAUUAAUUUGAACACAUCCGGCUAAUAGAUUUAUGAAAAAUUUAUAUAUUUCUUUUUCGUAUAUUUUAGGGUGUAGGAAACAAUGAUCAGAAAGUUCUUGUUCUUGCAGCA
rnacentral:misc_RNA from 1 species